rnacentral:misc_RNA from 1 species
GGAAGUAAAAGUCGUAAUAAGGUCUCCGUUGGUGAACCAGCGGAGGGAUCAUUACAGAGUUGCAAAACUCCCAAACCAUUGUGAACGUUACCUAUCCCGUCGCUUCGGCGGGCGGCCCGGGCCCCGCGCCCGGCGCCCCCCGGCCCCCCGUGGGCGCCCGCCGGAGGUAAACCACACCCUUGAAUUGCAUGGCCUCUCUGAGUCUUCUGUACUGAAUAAGUCAAAACUUUCAACAACGGAUCUCUUGGUUCUG